AGUAUGUGGUUAAUUCGAUGCAACGCGAAGAACCUUACCUGGUCUUGACAUCCCGGAGACCCUUAGGAACUAGGGGUGCUUCCAUCUGGAAGAAUCUGGAGACAGGUGCUGCAUGGCUGUCGUCAGCUCGUGUCGUGAGAUGUUGGGUUAAGUCCCGCAACGAGCGCAACCCUUGCCUUUAGUUGCCAGCAGUUCGGCUGGGCACUCUAAAGGGACUGCCGGUGUUAAACCGGAGGAAGGUGGGGAUGACGUCAAGUCCUCAUGGCCUUUAUGACCAGGGCUACACACGUACUACAAUGGCCGAUACAAAGGGCAGCGACACUGCGAGGUGAAGCCAAUCCCGUAAAAUCGGUCUCAGUCCGGAUUGGAGUCUGCAACUCGACUCCAUGAAGUUGGAAUCGCUAGUAAUCGUGGAUCAGCAUGCCACGGUGAAUACGUUCCCGGGCCUU
rnacentral:rRNA from 1 species